rnacentral:rRNA from 1 species
ACGAACGCUGGCGGCGUGCCUAAUACAUGCAAGUCGAGCGAAUCAUUAGGAGCUUGCUCCUGAUGGUUAGCGGCGGACGGGUGAGUAACACGUGGGCAACCUGCCUAUAAGACUGGGAUAACUUCGGGAAACCGGAGCUAAUACCGGAUAAUCCUUUUUGACACAUGUCAGAAAGCUGAAAGACGGUUUCGGCUGUCACUUAUAGAUGGGCCCGCGGCGCAUUAGCUAGUUGGUGAGGUAAUGGCUCACCAAGGCGACGAUGCGUAGCCGACCUGAGAGGGUGAUCGGCCACACUGGGACUGAGACACGGCCCAGACUCCUACGGGAGGCAGCAGUAGGGAAUCUUCCGCAAUGGACGAAAGUCUGACGGAGCAACGCCGCGUGAGCGAUGAAGGCCUUCGGGUCGUAAAGCUCUGUUGUUAGGGAAGAACAAGUAUCGGAGUAACUGCCGGUACCUUGACGGUACCUAACCAGAAAGCCACGGCUAACUACGUGCCAGCAGCCGCGGUAAUACGUAGGUGGCAAGCGUUGUCCGGAAUUAUUGGGCGUAAAGCGCGCGCAAGCGGUUCCUUAAGUCUGAUGUGAAAGCCCCCGGCUCAACCGGGGAAGGUCAUUUGGAAACUGGGGAACUUGAGUACAAGAAGAGAAAGCGGAAUCCCACGUGUUACCGGUGAAAAUGCCUUAGAAAAUUUGGAGGAACAACCAAGUUGGCCAAAGGGCGGCUUUUCCCGGGUCCCGGUUAACCUUGAACGCCUGAAGG